rnacentral:SRP_RNA from 1 species
GCUGGGCAUGGUGGCUCAUGCCUGUAAUCCCAGCACUCUGGGAGGCUGAGGUGGGCGGAUCACUUGAGGACAGGAGUUCAAGACCAACCUGGCCAACAUAGUGAAACCCCAUCUCUA